rnacentral:rRNA from 1 species
CUCUGUGACUCCUACGGGAGGCAGCAGUGGGGAAUAUGCACAAUGGGGGAAACCCUGAUGCAGCCAUGCCGCGUGUGUGAAGUAAGGCCUUACGGGGUUGUAAAAGCACUUUCAGUAGGGAGGAAGGUAGUGUAGUUAACACCUGCACUAUUUGACGUUACCUACAGAAGAAGCACCGGCUAACUCCGUGCCAGCAGCCGCGGUAAUACGGAGGGUGCGAGCGUUAAUCGGAAUUACUGGGCGUAAAGCGCAUGCAGGCGGCCUGUUAAGUCAGAUGUGAAAGCCCGGGGCUUAACCUCGGAAUUGCAUUUGAAACUGGCAGGCUAGAGUCUUGUAGAGGGGGUAGAAUUUCAGGUGUAGCGGUGAAAUGCGUAGAGAUCUGAAGGAAUACCAGUGGCGAAGGCGGCCCCCUGGACAAAGACUGACGCUCAGAUGCGAAAGCGUGGGGAGCAAACAGGAUUAGAUACCCUGGUGG